CAACUUUCAACAACGGAUCUCUUGGCUCUCGCAUCGAUGAAGGACGCAGCGAAAUGCGAUAAGUAAUGUGAAUUGCAGAACUCAGUGAAUCAUCGAAUCUUUGAACGCACCUUGCGCCCUCUGGUAUUCCGGAGGGCAUGCCUGUUUGAGUGUC
rnacentral:rRNA from 1 species